GAGCCUCGGAUCAGGUAGGAAUACCCGCGAACUAGCCUUCUUUUU
rnacentral:rRNA from 1 species